rnacentral:lncRNA from 1 species
GGAGCUUAUCUUCUUCCUGUGAGCUGUGUGUGGGUGGCUCCUGCACCCGGUGCCCUGGACCUGUGGUCUGGUGGAGCCCAGGCCUCCCAGGGACAGCAGGGCAGCCUGGGCUGCAGGAACCUCAGGGACCAGGUCAGGGUGGCCCUCGGGCCUCUGCCUCCACUUGCGACAGGCGCUGCUGUGGGAACCUGGGCUUGAGGCCCCUUCACUCAUGAUGGGAGCCACAGCCUGGAGACACAGGCCCCAUCCUUCCCAAUGGGGACACUUCAGGGAGCGGCUCUCAGGUCCCGAGAAAGACCUUCCUGGCCACAGGAGACACACGGACAUCGGGAACGGACGGAGGAAGGAUGUGCAGUUGCAGCCUUUUCAGCAGACGCCCUGAGAACGGGAGGUCAAGAGUUGGAGCAGACGGUCAGUUCUGACAGGGCCUCAGACCUAAGGCAGGAGCACCCCCUAUGCCAGACCUCCUGGGUCACAGGAUAUGCACGGACAUUGGGAAGGGAUGGAGGAUGGACGGAGGAAGGACGUGCAGUUGCAGCUCUUUCUGCAGAUGCCCUGAGAGAGGAGCAAGAAGGUCCUCGCCAGAUGCUCCUGGACUUGCUUUGGACUUUCCCUUGCUCUUGGACUUGCUCUGGCACCUGUGCUCUUGGACUUCACAGCCUCUAGAACUGUGAGAAAUAAAUUUCCGUUCAGUAUAAA